UACGUAGGUGGCAAGCGUUGUCCGGAUUUAUUGGGCGUAAAGAGCUCGUAGGCGGUCUGUCGCGUCGGAUGUGAAAACCCAGGGCUCAACCCUGGGCCUGCAUUCGAUACGGGCAGACUAGAGUACGGCAGGGGAGACUGGAAUUCCUGGUGUAGCGGUGAAAUGCGCAGAUAUCAGGAGGAACACCGGUGGCGAAGGCGGGUCUCUGGGCCGUAACUGACGCUGAGGAGCGAAAGCGUGGGGAGCGAACAGG
rnacentral:rRNA from 1 species